CCUACGGGUGGCAGCAGUCGAGAAUCAUUCACAAUGGGGGAAACCCUGAUGGUGCGACGCCGCGUGGGGGAAUGAAGGUCAUCGGAUUGUAAACCCCUGUCAUGUGGGAGCAAAUUAAAAAGAUAGUACCACAAGAGGAAGAGACGGCUAACUCUGUGCCAGCAGCCGCGGGAAUACAGAGGUCUCAAGCGUUGUUCGUAAUCACUAGGCGUACAGCGUGCGAUGGCUGUUUCGUAAGUCGUGUGUGAAAGGCGCGGGCUCAACCCGCGGACGGCACAUGAUACUGCGAGACUAGAGUAAUGGAGGGGGAACCGGAAUUCUCGGUGUAGCAGUGAAAUGCGUAGAUAGCGAGAGGAACACUCGUGGCGAAGGCGGGUUCCUGGACAUUAACUGACGCUGAGGCACGAAGGCCAGGGGAGCGAAAGGGAUUAGAUACCCUAGUAGUC
rnacentral:rRNA from 1 species